AGUGAACGCUGGCGGUAGGCCUAACACAUGCAAGUCGAACGGCAGCACAGUAAGAGCUUGCUCUUACGGGUGGCGAGUGGCGGACGGGUGAGGAAUACAUCGGAAUCUACUUUUUCGUGGGGGAUAACGUAGGGAAACUUACGCUAAUACCGCAUACGACCUACGGGUGAAAGCAGGGGAUCUUCGGACCUUGCGCGAUUGAAUGAGCCGAUGUCGGAUUAGCUAGUUGGCGGGGUAAAGGCCCACCAAGGCGACGAUCCGUAGCUGGUCUGAGAGGAUGAUCAGCCACACUGGAACUGAGACACGGUCCAGACUCCUACGGGAGGCAGCAGUGGGGAAUAUUGGAAAAUGGGCGCAAGCCUGAUCCAGCCAUACCGCGUGGGUGAAGAAGGCCUUCGGGUUGUAAAGCCCUUUUGUUGGGAAAGAAAAGCAGCAGGUUAAUACCCCGCUGUUCUGACGGUACCAAAAGAAUAAGCACCGGCUAACUUCGU
rnacentral:rRNA from 1 species